rnacentral:rRNA from 1 species
UCUCUAGUUGGAGUGGCGCAAGGGCGCGUGACACGUGGGUAAUCUGCCGUAAAGACUGGGAUAACUCGCUGAAAGGCGAGCUAAUACCGGAUGAGACUGUUAGGAGGCAUCUUCUGACAUUGGAAGCUGGGGACCGAAAGGCCUGGCACUUUACGAUGAGCCCGCGGCCUAUCAGCUAGUUGGUGAGGUAACGGCUCACCAAGGCAAAGACGGGUAGCUGGUCUGAGAGGACGACCAGCCACACUGGAACUGAGACACGGUCCAGACACCUACGGGUGGCAGCAGUCGAGAAUUUUUCACAAUGAGCGCAAGCCUGAUGGAGCGACGCCGCGUGGGGGAUGAAGGGUUUCGAUCCGUAAACCCCUGUCAUUUGCGAACAAACCUUGAGUGAUAAUACCAUUCAAGCUGAUUGUAGCGGAAGAGGAAGGGACGGCUAACUCUGUGCCAGCAGCCGCGGUAAUACAGAGGUCCAAGCGUUGUUCGGAUUCACUGGGCGUAAAGGGUGCGUAGGUGGCCGGGUAAGUUCGGUGUGAAAGCUCGGAGCUCAACUCCGGAAUGGCAUUGAAUACUAUCCGGCUGGAGGGUCGGAGGGGAGACUGGAAUUCUCGGUGUAGCAGUGAAAUGCGUAGAUAUCGAGAGGAACACCAGUGGCGAAGGCGAGUCUCUGGACGACUCCUGACACUGAGGCACGAAAGCUAGGGGAGCAAACAGGAUUAGAUACCCUGGUAGUCCUAGCUGUAAACGGUGCACGUUUGCUGUGAGAGGAAUCGACCCCUUUCGUGGCGAAGCUAACGCGCUAAACGUGCCGCCUGGGGAGUACGGUCGCAAGAUUAAACUCAAGAAAUUGACGGGGGCCUGCACAAGCGGUGGAGUAUGUGGCUUAAUUCGAUGCACGCGAAGAACCUUACCUGGUCUUGACAUGCACGUGGUAGGAGCCUGAAA